UACGUAGGGGGCAAGCGUUGUCCGGAAUCAUUGGGCGUAAAGAGCGUGUAGGCGGUCCGGUAAGUCGGCUGUGAAAGUCCAGGGCUCAACCCUGGGAUGCCGGUCGAUACUGCCGGACUAGAGUUCGGAAGAGGCGAGUGGAAUUCCCGGUGUAACGGUGAAAUGCGCAGAUAUCAGGAGGAACACCGGUGGCGAAGGCGGAUCUCUGGGCCUGUCCUGACGCUGAGGCGCGAAAGCUAGGGGAGCGAACAGG
rnacentral:rRNA from 1 species